rnacentral:lncRNA from 1 species
UCAGCUGCUUGUUGGAGGUCAUCAUACAAAUCAACUUGUUGUUCAAGUUGUUGAGGAGAAGUGGGAGCUGAAAAGGAAAAUUGAUUAUUUAUUAGCAACUCUUGAUAGAAGUAUAUAUGUAUGUAGGAAUUAUGUAGAUACCUGUUGUACUGGCGCCUGCACGGAGUUGAGGACCAACAUUGAACUGAAAAUGUUUGUUUUUGUCUGCUUUAUUAUGUUCGCUAUAUUUAGUUGAACUAGCAGCAAACUACAUUUUGAGAUGAAUGUUUUAAUGUUAGAAUAAAUUAUCAUAACUAUUAUAUAGUGUUAGAUACAAAUAACAAUGAGCCAGCUACAAAAUAUGUAGUUCAAGUCUGUAUAUUAUAACAGUGAGCCAGCUACAAAAUACAAAUAACAGCUACAAAAUACAAAUAACAGCUACANN